UACGUAGGGUGCAAGCGUUGUCCGGAUUUAUUGGGCGUAAUGAGCUCGUAGGCGGCUCGUCGCGUCGGAUGUGAAAACUCGGGGCUUAACCCCGAGCCUGCAUUCGAUACGGGCGAGCUAGAAUUCGGUAGGGGAGACUGGAAUUCCUGGUGUAGCGGUGAAAUGCGCAGAUAUCAGGAGGAACACCGAUGGCGAAGGCAGGUCUCUGGGCCGAUAUUGACGCUGAGGAGCGAAAGCGUGGGGAGCGAACAGG
rnacentral:rRNA from 1 species